rnacentral:rRNA from 1 species
CGCACGGGUGCGUAACGCGUGGGAAUCUGCCCUCUGGUACGGAAUAACUCAGGGAAACUUGAGCUAAUACCGUAUAAUGACUUCGGUCCAAAGAUUUAUCGCCUGAGGAUGAGCCCGCGUAGGAUUAGCUUGCUGGUGAGGUAAAGGCUCACCAAGGCGACGAUCCUUAGCUGGUCUGAGAGGAUGAUCAGCCACACUGGGACUGAGACACGGCCCAG